rnacentral:rRNA from 1 species
AGAGUUUGAUCAUGGCUCAGAUUGAACGCUGGCGGAAUGCUUUACACAUGCAAGUCGAGCGGCAGCGCGGGGGCAACCCUGGCGGCGAGCGGCGAACGGGUGAGUAACAUAUCGGAACGUACCCCGUCGUGGGGGAUAACACAGCGAAAGUUGUGCUAAUACCGCAUACGACCUGAGGGUGAAAGCGGGGGACCGUAAGGCCUCGCGCGAUGGGAGCGGCCGAUAUCGGAUUAGCUAGUUGGUGAGGUAAAGGCUCACCAAGGCGACGAUCCGUAGCUGGUCUGAGAGGACGACCAGCCACACUGGAACUGAGACACGGUCCAGACUCCUACGGGAGGCAGCAGUGGGGAAUUUUGGACAAUGGGGGCAACCCUGAUCCAGCCAUUCCGCGUGAGUGAAGAAGGCCUUCGGGUUGUAAAGCUCUUUCGGCAGGAACGAAACGGUGGUCCUUAAUACGGGCUACUAAUGACGGUACCUGAAGAAGAAGCACCGGCUAACUACGUGCCAGCAGCCGCGGUAAUACGUAGGGUGCGAGCGUUAAUCGGAAUUACUGGGCGUAAAGCGUGCGCAGGCGGUUCCAUAAGACAGAUGUGAAAUCCCCGGGCUUAACCUGGGAACUGCGUUUGUGACUGUGGGACUCGAGUGUGGCAGAGGGGGGUGGAAUUCCACGUGUAGCAGUGAAAUGCGUAGAGAUGUGGAGGAACACCGAUGGCGAAGGCAGCCCCCUGGGUCAACACUGACGCUCAUGCACGAAAGCGUGGGGAGCAAACAGGAUUAGAUACCCUGGUAGUCCCC